rnacentral:lncRNA from 1 species
AAGGAACAUUCCCGGGAAAAUCUAGUGUAAGAGAAUUGCUGGCAGAAAGAAUAACUGCUGGGGUCCAGGCAUGGCAGAGCUUGAUAUUUAUAAAAUAAACCAAAUUAUGAACAACUUAAUGGAAUUAUUUUAAUAUUAACAACUAAUGGUUAUGCCUGUAUUUCUAAUUAGCAUGCUUUUUAUCUCUCACUGUCUGUCAUUAAAUCUACCUGUUCACUCAAACCAAGACCAAGUCUCAUCUAUAAAGUCUUCACAGCCAUGUCUUCCAUGGCAGGCUAUCUCUCAAGUUCUCAGAGUGCAUCUAACAGCCCAUUGUGUACAAUGUAAACAGUUUCUGUGGUAUUGGUAUCUGAUACUUGUACUAUUUGGCAUUUCAAAAGAAUUUUGUAUAUCUUGUUUUUUAAGUGCAAAAGUAUGGUCAUUAAACAUACCCACAUUAUUUUGAUACUAUUGGCAUAAUUUUGGUGGUGUUUAUUGUUAUUGGUGAAUAUUCUUGGUGUUUUACUAUUUCUUUUUUUUUUUUUUGGCUGUGCCUAUGGCAUGCAGAAGAUCCUGGGCAAGGGAUCAAACAUGUGCCACAGCAGUGACACCACCAAAUCCUUAACUUUUAGACUACCAUGGAAAUCCUAUUUAGCAUUUUAAAUAAUGUGGAUAUCUUUGCUUUAUUACUAGAUUAUAAAUUCUUUAAUAAAAAUAAUUCUUUAAAAGAUUUCAAACAUUCAAUGGCUGAACAUUAGAGUGUGAUGGAACAUAAAAGCCGUCUUUGUGAACCUCAUUUUCCGGAACAGAAAAAGCUGAAAAUUAAAUACGGCAUACGGGGUUGUAUAAAAUUUAAGAAGACAUGCAGUGAUUGAGAGUAGAGUUCAUAUUUGAGUUUGAAGCUUUUUAUCAAUAAAAUAAUAGGUCAUAUGGUAUUCUGCUAAUUCAGUCAGCAACUGUGGUCAGAAAAUGCCAAAAUAAAAUGAUACCUUAAGCUGUCCUACGAAAAUAGUCCAUAUCAGCAUGAUUACCAGUUAUGGUGACUACAUGGGGAAAAAGAGAGGCUGAUGCUCAGAUCCCAAGACUGUCUGUGAAUCCCUGACCCACAUCUUGCAGCAUCUUCAGCUACUUCUAAAAUGACCCUUAGGACAUAUGCGCACAGAGCAGAUCAGACAAUUUCUCUUAAUUUCUGACCAAGUUUUGAUACCACCUCCAGUGUGGUUUCCAGGUAAACUUUACCGGACCACCUUUCCCGUCGUGGCGCAGCGGUUAACGAAUCCGAUGGGGAACCAUGGGGUUGCGGGUUCGAUCCCUGGCCUUGCUCAGUGGGUUAAGGAUCCAGUGUUGCCGUGGGCUGUGGUGUAGGUUGCAGACGCGGCUCGGAUCCUGCAUUGCUGUGGCUGUGGCGUAGGCCGGUGGCUACAGCUCUGACUGGACCCCUAGCCUGGGAACCUCCAUAUGCCGUGGGAUUGGUCCUAGAAAAGGCAAAAAGACAAAAG